AGAACGAACGCUGGCGGCGUGGAUAAGACAUGCAAGUCGAACGCGACUUAUUUUGUUAGCAAUAACAGAGUAAGUUGAGUGGCGAAAGGGUGCGUAACACGUGGGAAUUUACCAAGAAGUGGGGAAUAGCUCGACGAAAGUCGAAUUAAUACCGCAUGUGAUCGAAAGAUCAAAGUCGGGGACCGCAAGGCCUGACGCUUUUUGAGAAGCCCGCGGCCCAUCAGCUAGUUGGUGAGGUAAUGGCUCACCAAGGCUAUGACGGGUAGCUGGUCUGAGAGGACGACCAGCCACACUGGAACUGAGACACGGUCCAGACACCUACGGGUGGCAGCAGUCGAGAAUUUUUCACAAUGGACGAAAGU
rnacentral:rRNA from 1 species